rnacentral:rRNA from 1 species
GACGAACGCUGGCGGUGUGCUUAACACAUGCAAGUGGAGCGACGAACCAGGGCUUGCCCUGGGGCAGAGCCGCGAACGGGUGAGUAACACGUGGGUAACGUACCCCGAUCACCGGGACAACCCGAGGAAACUCGGGCUAAUACCGGAUGUGUCCGUGAAUCAUGAGGUUCACGUGCAAAGGAAGCUUCGGCCUCCGGAUCGGGAGCGGCCCGCGGCCCAUUAGCCUGUUGGUGGGGUAACGGCCUACCAAAGCGACGAUGGGUAGCUGGUCUGAGAGGACGAUCAGCCACACUGGGACUGAGACACGGCCCAGACUCCUACGGGAGGCAGCAGUGGGGAAUAUUGCACAAUGGGCGGAAGCCUGAUGCAGCGACGCCGUGUGCGGGAUGACGGCCUCGGUUGUAA